AUGAAUUUAGAAAAAAUAUCUGAAAAUGAAGAAUUAUUGAGAAACAGAAUCGAUCAACUCUCUUCCUUCAACAAUUCCACCCAAGAUGUUCUCUUCGAUUUAAAUGUUCAAAGUACCCUUGAUUACAUUAUUUCUUCUUUAUUAAGUCUUUUGAAUUUCUUGUCCGAAAUUGAAACAUCACUAACUUUUUGCAGUAUAAAUAAAUUACACCCCUCUGUUAUCUCACUUUUAGACCUCCGAAACGAAAUUAAAGUAAUAAGGAAAUAUUAUCGUGAAGCUAUCCCAUCUUCUCUUAUGAAUCUAACAUUAUCUGGUCUGGAUCAAUUUUUGAAAGUAUCUUGUGCUCAACGUACCCCGCUGAAACUAAUUUAUUUUGUUUCUAUCCCUGUAAAUUUUGAAGCCACUUUCCGAUUGUAUCACAUUUUAUCUCUCCCCUCAUUUGUACGGUCAGAUUAUGUCUCUGUUUUGCCCGAGUACAGGAACACCUUACGACAAGAAGACUCCUCCAAUUUCUUCUCCGUCACAACUCCGUGCAAAAAACUGGAUCCAUUCUACCAAUGCGCAGAUGCCAAACCAGCUCUACCGGAAUCUUGCAGCGUCACUGCCAUCAACAACGCCCCAACAUCAUCCUGCCCAUUAGUCUCUCUACAUUUGCCUUCCAACCAUGUUGAAAAUAUCCCAGAAACAAAGCAAUUCUUAUUCUGUUUUCCCAAAAACGAAACUAUCACUUUUCAAUGCCCUCAAUUUAAUAAACAAAAGAUUCUAAAUGGCAUUUUUCUCUAUCACAACAAUGACUGUAAAAUCAUUUUUCGAAAUCUUAGUUUAUCUCCUUCACUUUCUACUUCCGGCAUACCAAUAAUUUCUGAUUUUAAAUUAUCUGACCUUGCAUCACCUAAAAAAUUGCCGUUCAAUAUAACUCUCUCUCACUUACAAAUGGAUUUAACUCCUGAAUUGAUAAACGCACUUCCAUUAGAUGUAGUUCCAACUCAACCUCCCACUACAUUUUCUACCCAUUUUUAUAUCUUUUACUUAUUCUGUCUUUUAUUUGUUAUCAGUGCAUUCCUUGUUGCCUAUUUCCAUGUUACUACGCGACGCCGAAUUCAAUCUGCAUUUUUACCUGUGGAACCUGUCUUUUCACUGCAAGCUGGCACUUUCUCGCCCCCUCUCUUGCCUACUGCUGGUGUUGCCUCCUCUCCACCCGCUGGUCCCUAA
rnacentral:lncRNA from 1 species